UGAGGAACAUGACCUUCGGCGGGGGAUAGCCGGCCCAACGGCCGGGUAAUACCGCGUACGACCACAUGGGGACAUCCCUGAGUGGUGAAAGCAGCAAUGCGCCGAUGGAGUGCCUCGCGGCCUAUCAGCUAGUUGGUGAGGUAACGGCUCACCAAGGCGACGACGGGUAGCUGGUCUGGAGAGGAUGGCCAGCCACAGUUGGGACUGAGACACGGCCCAGACCUCUACGGGAG
rnacentral:rRNA from 1 species